AGUUACUGUCGGCACGUCUUAUCGAGUGCAAUGUUAAGUUGUGUGGUUAAGAUUUCGAUAAUACGUACAUCUUUCUCGUGGCGAGGUCGAGUGGUUGAUAGCGGAAUGAUUAAGACGUAGCAUUAUGGAAUAAGCGUGGGAGUUUUUUAAGUGCUGUUAAUGGGUAUUACAUGGUGUUUUUGGGGGGCGUUGCUUGUAUUUUGAGGGCGUGAAGUGUUGUUACACUUUGGCACGCGUGUCGAUUUAGUUUCUCCAAAUGCAGUAAUUUGUGACUUACAUAUGUCAAUUAUAUUGUUAAGGCCAAAUUAUGUACAAGUGUAUGUGUUUGGGAACAUUCGGUCAAAUAGCGCACUUUGUAAUAUAAAAUAUUUCUUGGAGUGAUUAAUCGUAAAGUGAUUGAGAAUCUCCAUCUCUACUGAACCCAGUUUUCUAACCUGAGUUCAACAAAUGUUAAGCCGACGUCAACAUACAUACACACUUACACACACACAUAAUUUUAUACUUUUACCCAACACAAUGCAACAAAGGAGAACCUCAAAUAAUGAGAAUAAAGAGCGGCAGCUGCAUUUUAAUUCACUUGGUUUGCCACAGCCUUACGAGUUCAAUAAGCACACAUGUGCAUUUCCAUGCAUAUUUCCAUAUACAUACAUACCUAUGUGUAAAGAAAUUUCAGUCAAUGCUAGUAUAAGUAACCGUCUAACAACUAUAGGUGACGGAACAUAGCGCACCGAGCCUCUAUGCGAAAACAAUUGGAGGGAGGAUAAUGUGUGAAGGGAACAUGAAGGAUUCCGGAUAAGAGGUAAUAAGUUUUAGACAAGGGUGUGCGGACGGCGCACAUUAACAAUUGAGAUAAAUAAUAUUAUAUGAAUGUUUAUGGUAAGGGGAGAAUAUGAAGACCAAGGAAAAAAUAAAAAAUUUAAAACAAGCAUAAGUAUUGUUGCAAUCAUGUGUUGCUUUGAAGAUUUAGUUGAAAGGGGAUGAAAAUGUAAUGGCAAAAUUUUGGCAAAGUAAGCAACAAUGUUCGAAGAAAAUUUAGGCGCACAGUGGUGCAAAAUAGUGCUUAACAUAUGUUUUUUAAACUUAGAAAACCGUGGUCAAUUUCAAAACUGUAAUAGUUGUAUAAAUAUAAUUAAUUUUUAAGUCAUAAAUGCAUUCAAAAUAAAAUCGAAAUUUAGUUUCCA